rnacentral:rRNA from 1 species
AUGGACAACGCCGCCUUGGGCUCCGGCGCCGGCGUGGGGAUUAGGGUCCUCGUUGUGGAUGAAGACCCCAUCCACCUCGAGACCAUGACCCAAACACUGAGGCGGUGCGGCUACCAAGUGACUACAAAAGCCUCGCCGGCCGAAGCACUGCGAGAGGUACAGGAGAACCCGGACGGGAUUGACCUCGUCUUGACGGUGGCGCACAUCCGGGGGGACGGAAUCGAUGGCUUCACCCUCCUCCAGCAGGCCAGGGAUCAUUACCCUGUCAUAUUGUUCUCUGGCGACGCGACCGCAGAGACGGUGAGGAGGGGGUUCAUUGAAGGUGCAUGUGACUUCCUGACCAAGCCCCUGCAUGAUGAUGUUAUGCGCAACAUUUGUCAUCAUGUCAACCCGCGGAGGCUCAACACCGCCCCUACCGCUGUCCCCAUGAACACCGGUUCUCACAGCAACCACAUUGUCCAUCGGGAUGACAAAUCAGGGAAAAGACCAAUAGAACUGGACGACUCCAAUGAGGGGGGCUAUGAGGGCAGGAUCACCAAUGGGAUCAAGUUCCACUGGAGUGCACAUAAGCAUGCACUAUUCCACAGAGCCACCAACCGACUCAAUGAAACAAAAGACUAUACUCUGAGAAAUAUGAGAGAACUUAUUACGGAGGACAAUAGUGAAAAUGCAACUACAGAUCAAGACAGCAUCCAUCUGCAGAAAAACAAAGGUGACUGCUCAACUGAUUGGCUUUCAACCAUGCCCACAAUCCCAACACACUAUAACAAUUCUUUGAAUGACUAUCCGAAAUCUCAAUAUAGUGAGGGAACUUUCGAGUUCAAUAUAGGAUCUGAGGGAGCUAUAAAUCUUAACCAAACAAGUCAGCUAAGUAAUAUUGCAACACCAGUUGGUUAUGGUUUUCAUGGAAAUGACGGCAGCACGACUAGUCUUUGUGGAGGUGCUCUUAGGGAACCAGCAUCUAAUACUAAUAAUGGUCACGGUUAUACUAAUGGAAAUGGUGCUCAUGUUGGAGUUCUAACAAAUGGAAGCAUGGUUAGUGCAUCACAACCGUCCAAUCUUGCACGGACAGCACAGCAGCCAAUGCCCACUUUGAAUUUAUUUCCAAGCAAUACGAUGCUUGCCAUGGAUAAUCAAAACCAUAUAAGGCAACAGGAGGUUCUACCACAGUUAUAUCCACUCAUCUAUGAUUGUAGCAUUGGAGGGAUAAGGAUGUUGACUCCACCUCUAGAUGAUGGUGAAGACCUCCUCAGAAGCUACCUUGGUGAGAGCGAGGACAUGCAAAACACCGCAACCACGGACAUGGCCCAUGGAAUGAAGAAUGCUGUAACCAUGGCCAUUACACUAGGAAUAACGAAUUCUGCAACUGUGGAGAUGACCCAAGAAAUUUCAGGAGAUGGUGCUGCUGGUCAGACCGGUGCAAUGCAGCUUCAAGGCCUCGGCAGUGAGUUUUUCAGCAAGGAUAGUACUACUGUUGAAACAGCCGGCAUAUCAGGUGCAGGUGGACUAGGAACAGAUGAGAUGAUGCACGGGAUAAAUAUGGAUGAAUUUAACAAAUUUCUGAGUGAGAAGAUAUUACUUCACGGCUUACGGGAAUAUGAGUAUUUAACGUCUGAAGGCAUGGAGGAGCUCACAGGAGCAAAGUGA